UUCAGUUUCACGGUGGUUGUCUUCAUCAGCGAUCGAUCUGGGUGGUGGAUGAUGGUGAUAACUAAUCUUCUUCAUUAGCAUCGAUCUAGAUAUGGGUUUCUUUGAGAAAGGCAUUUUGAUUACAUUGUGCAGAAAAGGAUUUAUUGGCAAGAUGUUGAAGGUUCACCAUGUUUAAACUGAGACAAAUGAUAAUGUUUCCUAAAAAAUUGUUACUUAAAAGAUCAAGAUUCCGGAGCUCUAGAAGCCGGAGUAGCUCCGGUGGGAUUUCGCCGGUCAACCGGUUUUUAUGAAAGUUCAAGUAUUUCAAAGUGGAAAUGUUAGAUAAAUCGGGAAUGGAACCUGAGAGGGUGUUGUUUGCCAAAUUCAAGAUUUCGGGGGAUUGAAGUUGUCCAAUUCAAGAAGUAAUUCACUUCCAUUAAAUUACGUGGCUGCCAAAUAAUAAAGGUUGUGUGUAUCCGAUGACUACAGUAAAAAAAAUCAUCUUCCGUUUCCAGAUCUUGGCACAAACUUUUAUUUUUGGCAAACAAAGAAAUAUAUCUUAUGGUUAAAGCAGAUUAUGAAGAUGUGAGUGGAUUAGUUUGGAAGAGACACAUGUCUGAUGUCUGACGUCUGGAAUCCAUGUUCAACUAGACUUAAUUGUUUUUUUUCCUAAGUAUUUAUAUAUAAUUAUUUUAGGUUACAACCGUAAAAACUAUAGUUAUAAAAUUAAUGAAAAUUUUAUAUUAAAAAAUUAAAAUCAGUAAUCAAUUAUUUUAAA